rnacentral:lncRNA from 1 species
UCUCAACAAAUGGAUUCAAGCGAACAAGCUCCAAGUUCAAGCAACCCAAACCCAGCGGUUACCGGUGUAGUCACAACUCCCAUCUACAAGGAGCCUCACAUUCUUGAUCGUGAGCCUCACAUCAAUCUUGCAACGCCAUUUGAGAAACUGGAAGUAUUAUGUGAAUCCUUGGUGGAUUUUGACAACAUGAAAAGAAAUGGAAUUGACCUCACUGAAGAACUCGGCAAUCAAGGUUGGGGAAACUACUUCAAACGUCUCUAUGGUCCAGUUUACACAAAUCUAGUGAAGGAAUUCUGGAGAUUCGCUGAUGCUGAUGAUCACUUCAUUGUCUCCUAUGUUCUGG